rnacentral:tRNA from 1 species
GCCUGGGUGGCUCAAUUGGUUAAGUGUCUGACUUUAGCUCAGAUCAUGAUCUCGUGGUCCGUGAGUUCGAGCCCCACGUCAGGCU